GCUGCGGUGUCCGAGUGGUUAAGGAGUUGGACUUGAAAUCCAAUGGGUUGUACCCGCACAGGUUCGAAUCCUGUCCGCAGCG
rnacentral:tRNA from 1 species